UCUUAAAUCUCUUUUGUUUCCUUUCCUCGUCUCUACACAUAGAGCCCUAAAUUUUCUCUCUCAAUUCCCUACCCUUAUAUCUCUUAAGUCCCAACUUUCAGCACUUGAUACCUACCUAGAACCCAACCUUCAACAUCGAUGAGAAUGUCAAAGCUUCAACUCGUUUAGUUCGUCGCUCGAAACCCACCCCUUCUUUCUCUUAAAACCCACCUCUUCAUUUUAAAUCUCACUGUCGAUUCUUCUCAAUCAUAUUAUUGCAAUUAUCGACCAUCCACAAAUUAACAAAGAAAUGCCAAACGAAAGGAGCCAUCUAAUCAGUUUUAUCUUCAAGAAGCUCUGUUUGAUUAUCUGACUACAAGUUGAAGAAACCAAGGUUGAAUAUGAUGGGUAUUUUUAAAGCUUCACCACAUGAACUAAUUUUCCAAGUAAAAUUUAAUGUUUUUUGAGUUAAUUGCUUUUGGGUUUCCUUUUAUAUUAAUUUUCAACGAGUGCAUGACCCUAAAAAUUCAUAACCUAAAAUCUUACAAACACCACAUUGAAUCAAAAUCUAUCACAUUUUCAACCUUCUAAAUGUUCUAAUCCUUUGGUUAGAAAAGAUGAGGGUCACAAUGGUAGUUAUGUAGGAGUUUGAUAAUUUGUCCCUUCGUAUUAUUGUUGUUUUUACUUGAAGAAUCUUUUUAUAUUAUGUUUCUCAUAUGCAUCAAGACUUUUGUAUUAAAUGGUCGUUGAGUUUACACUGUAGUUUGGGUAGGAGAAUCGAACAAAAAUUGAAUAGAAUAAGUUAUCUCUAUUGUUCAAUUCAUACAUAUCAAUUUUUAACACCCGCGUUAAGGACAAAAAUAAGGAAAUAAGACAAAUGCUACCAAAUAAUUAAGGUUGGAGAUAAAUAUGAUCUUGUCAAACAAGUUAGGUCGUAAAAGGAUAAACCAUGACUUCUAUCAGUAAAUUGGAUGAGAAAUAGUUUUUUUUUUAUACAACCAACUGCAAGAAUCUCUAUAAUUUAACAUAAAAAAAAAAAACUCUUUUAAAGAAUUAUUGUGUAUGUUAAAAACAUACAUAGAAGAGAACAUGAUUGAGAACAAAGAGAAGAAAGUAGUCCAAUUAAGGAAUGAGUUUGAGCAAGUAUUGGUUGGUGUUAUGUACUGUAGUAUAUUGUUUUUAUUUGAGCAUUGAUUGUAACAUUUCCAACCAUUUUCUUUAUUUAAAACAUGUAGGUAAUCAUACUUUCUUAUGUCGUAAUUAAUGGUAAUAUAGUUUGAUUUUGCUCAACUCUUUUCAUUUACCCACAAAUAUGAUCUCUCAAUGGUAUGGUGUAGUAUUUUAUAAUUGUCGAUGUUGAAAGCAUUGACGAGCCCACUCUAAAUUUACUCUAAAUCUCACAAACUUUUAAGAGAAGAAACUUGUUCUCUUACAAAACUCAACAACGCACAAGAGAAGAAUAUUGUUCUCUUGAAACUCAGUUUCUUUUCAAACUUCAAUUUGCUUCUAUUGAUUUUGAUUCUUUUCUCUUGCAUACAAAUGAGGGAAAUGAACUCUUUAUAUAGUACUCAAGAGACACUUCCUAAAAGACACAAAAUAAAUGAAGUACAUGCAUACAUACCAUUCAUGUACUUCAAUAAUUACAUGUAUCUAGAAAUGCAUGUAUCUUAGAAAAUGUAUCUAGAAAUGUGUGAUCCAUAAUGUAUCUAGCUUAUUAAUUUCUAACAGUCGAACCUGUAAUACUUUACAAUUGUGGUAUUGGAAAAUAUUGAUAAGAUGGAAUAAUAGUAAGCACAGUCAAAUAAUAUUCUGCACUUGAAGUGUUAACUUGGAUAAGCUUUGAUGUGGGCAUGGGAUAUAUAGAAAUCAAAGUUAAAAAUAUAUAAUUUCAUUUGGGGGGAAGUUGCAGAAUUGUGUCAUGUGUUUUCAUAUAUGCUAUAUUUGGUUGCAAUUGGACAACAGUAGGAUUUCAAAGCCAGUAGUUUGUCUUCAUGGUCUGAUUCUCUUUUCCCAUUGAGCUACUUGCUUUUUGACUUGUUUGUUUAUAUGAAGGUUUGUUCAUGUUGUUUUUUUCAUUGAGAAUUGGAAACAAUAAUGACGGUCAAAGAUGACUACCAAAGAAAAUAGCAAUUUGUUCUUGUGACAAUUGUUGUACUUGCAUCCCCGCUCUUGUUUCUUUGCUUGUAUAUCAACAAUAAGGACUCUAAGAGCUCGAAGAUUUGAAAAAAGCAGGCCUCAUUUGGUUAUACAGUUAUGGUAAUCUUCUUUUUAUUGUUGAAGGAAAGAGCUCUUCUAUGCUUCCUACACUAUGGAUGUAAGUAAUCUCUUAGUUCUCUCUUUAUUUUGUUUCAAUUUCUUUGUUCUCUCUUCUUCUCAUGAUCUUGUGGCAAGUUUUAUGAAAGAAUAGCCGAAAUUCAUGAUGUUAUUUUUUACAUCUACCUUAAAAAUAAUGAUGGUAAGAGGCUCAAUUCUUUUCUUCUUGGUCAUAUAUAUUUUAGCAACCAAGGUAUGCAUCUCUUUUUUUUUUUCCCAAAUAUGGGCACUCUACAAUUUUUUUAGUUUUCAUAAAGACAAAAUCCUUGAAUUUUAUUGUUUUUAGAAGGAUUAAGAUGGUCCGAACCCAGGAAUCCCUUAGAUAUGAUACAAAAUGGAUCUUGUUCUAUCGUUGACAAGAGAUUUCUCUAUGAACAAUACGAAUCGAAUUUGAAGAAGGGGAAGGAGAAGGAGUCCUCGACCCGCAACAGAUAGAGGAGGAUUUAUUCAAUCACAUAGUUUGGGCUCCUAGAAUAUGGCACCCUUGGGGCUUUCUAUUUGAUUGUAUCGAAAGGCCCAAUGAAUUGGGAUUUCCUUAUUGGGCUAGGUCAUUCUGGGACAAGCGGAUCAUUUAUGAUGAAGAGGAUGAGCUUCAAGAGAAUGAUUCGAAGUUCUUGCAGAGUAGAAUCGUGCAGUACCAGACACGAGAUAGAUCUUCCAAAGAACAAGACUUUUUUCAAAUAAGCCAAUCCAAAAUAGUAUCUUUUAAGUCACUCUACAAUCCUUUGAUUCUAUGUAAGGCAUUUGAGAAGACACAUAUUUUGAAGCUUGAAGGAGAUCAACAAUGACCAUCUCAACUUUUCCUUUUGAGUUUGUUUACUCUAAAAUGUGCUUGAAUGGAUGCUUUUUUUUUUUUUGGUGAAAUAUAAAUUUAGUGAGAAAGAAGGUUUACAUGGCUUUAUA